rnacentral:rRNA from 1 species
CCUACGGGAGGCAGCAGUCGAGAAUCAUUCACAAUGGGGGAAACCCUGAUGGUGCGACGCCGCGUGGGGGAAUGAAGGUCUUCGGAUUGUAAACCCCUGUCAUGUGGGAGCAAAUUAAAAAGAUAGUACCACAAGAGGAAGAGACGGCUAACUCUGUGCCAGCAGCCGCGGUAAUCCAGAGGUCUCAAGCGUUGUUCGGAAUCACUGGGCGUAAAGCGUGCGUAGGCUGUUUCGUAAGUCGGGUGUGAAAGGCGCGGGCUCAACCCGCGGACGGCACAUGAUACUGCGAGACUAGAGUAAUGGAGGGGGAACCGGAAUUCUCGGUGUAGCAGUGAAAUGCGUAGAUAUCGAGAGGAACACUCGUGGCGAAGGCGGGUUCCUGGACAUUAACUGACGCUGAGGCACGAAGGCCAGGGGAGCGAAAGGGAUUAGAUACCCCUGUAGUC